rnacentral:lncRNA from 1 species
CAGGCUUCUAACAGUGAACAUGAUCUGGCAGCAUUAGACACACCACAACUCCACUCCAGACCAAGAUGGGUCUGGGUCAAACCCAGGACUUCUGCUUCAAAUUAGGAGAGUUACCAAAUUAAGACAAUUCUGCCUCAACUGAGUCACCCUCCAGGGACAGCUGAGUCCAUUUCCAGGGACCAUCUUCUAAGGCGACUCUCCCAGGAUUCGGACAGUGUUACAGUUCUUACUUCUGUUCUUUAGAAGAAGUGAACCAGCAACAACAGGCCACCCAUCAAGUUUUAGAAAAUUUUCUCUGCCUUAAAAAAACCAAAGCCACUGCAUUCUGAAGACUGAAGACGAUUUAAAAGCCUGUGAAUCUCCCUUGUUUGGAAUCCCACUGGGCCCGAUCUGUUUUCCAUGACCAAGGCACUGCUGCUAAAGCUAUACAGUAUCAAGCACCCUCCUUAAAGGCUCAGGGACCAUGAAGGAAGAAGAGGGCAUGUGAGAUUACAAGAGCUGGAUUACAAGAGUGGACUGUGGAGGCUGAAGUAGCUCCAUCGUGGAUGCUACUCCGCCAUGUGGCUUCUGAUUAACCCCAGUUCCAGGAAACCCUCUGAGAUUUCCAGCUUAUGCGCUGUUCCUCGUGUAAGACCAAGAACUUACCAUAAAGCCUGACCUUAGGUCAAACAACUUUGAUGUUAUUGUACUCACACUGACCUACACAUCCCUCUGAAUCACCCCUUCCCUACGGUAUACAAGCCCUGGGACCAGGGGAUAAUGGUGCAGGGAUCCACUGUCUCUUCUCGCUGCAGCCCCAGUUCACAGACUAAUGAACAGAAGCUUGAGAACAGACAUAGCUUCUGUGCAUAAGCCCCUAUUAAAUGUUUCUAAGAAAAAAGAAAAUGCUUGAAGAAGAAAGAAAGGAUAGAAGGAAAUAUUUGAAGAGAUAAUGGCCAAUAAUUUUUUAAACAUAAUAAAAGACAUCAAAGCACAGAUCCAAGAAGUUUAGAGGACUCCAAAAAAGAGAAAUACCAAAACAACAUCAUGUCCAAAUUGUCGAAAACUAAAAAUAAAGAGAAAAUCUUAAAAGCUGCCGGGGUGACAGUGGGAAUUGGGAAACAUAUUACAUUCAGAGGAACAAAGAAAAGAAUUAUAGCAGACUUCUCACCAAAACAACAAAAGCCAGAAGGCAGUGGUGUGAUAUCUUUAAAGUACUAAAAGAAUAAGUUGCAAAAAAAAUUUUUCAACACAAACCUUCAUAUCCUAAAAGAAAAAAAAAAAAAAAAGAAACAAACAAAACCAAAAAAAAGAAAAAACCGACUCUUAAAAAUGAGUGUCUCUUGGAUCUCCUUGGUAUGAAAUUUUUCUUUAAACAUUUUCUUUUUUUUCAGAAAGAGUCUCACUCUAUUGCCCAGGCUGGAAUGCAGUGACGUGAUCUCAGCUCUCUGCAACCUCCGCCUCCUGGGUUCAAGUAAUUCUCCUGCCUCGGCCUCCCAAGUAGCUGGAACUACAGGCAUGCGCCACCAUGCCCAGCUAAUUUUUGGUAGAGACGGGGUUUCGCCUUGUCAGCCAGGCAGGUCUCCAACUCCUGGCCUCAAGUGAUCAACUCUCCUCAGCCUCCCAAAGUGCUGGAAUUACAAGCAUGAGUCACCGCACCCAGCCCUCUUUAAAAACUUUUUUUUUUUUUUGAGACAAAAGUCUCACUCAGUUGCCCAGACUGGAAUGCAAUGGCGCGAUCUCAGCUCACUGCAACCUCCACCUCCUGGGUUCAAAUGACUCUCCUGCCUCAGCCUCCCAAGUAGCUGGGAUGACAGGCUCUCACCACCAUAUCCAGCUAAUUUUUGUAUUUUUAGUAGAGACAGGGUUUUGCCAUGUUGGCCAGGCUGGUCUUGAACUCCUGACUGCAGGUGAUCCACCUACCUCGGCUUCCCAAAGUGCUGGGAAUAACAGGCAUGAGCCAUUGUGCCCGGCCUAAAAACAUUUUCUAAUGGGAGGGAAAUAAAAACUUUUUCAGACAGACAAAGGCUGAGAUCAUUUAUUCCCAGAAGACCUGUAGCAUAAAAAAUGUUAAAGGAAGUUUUUCAGUCGGGAGAUGAGACAGAAACCUAUAGAUCUACACAAAGAAACGAAGAGUUCCUGAAGUGGCCUAAAAAGAAGAAAGAUUUUCAAAAUAAUUUUCAAAAGUAUUUUGAAAAUCUUCCAUUGUUCUAAAACUACACUGUCUAUAUGGCAGCCGCUUAAAUUUAAAUUACUUAAAUUAAACUAGUUUAUUUAAAAUUCAGUUGUUUUCAGGUACUCAAUGGUCACACAUGGAUAGUAGCUACCAUAUUGUAUAGUCUAGAUAUAAAACAUUUCCAUCAUUGCAGGAAGUUUCAUCAAACAGCAUUGCUCUAAAAGGUAAUUUUCUGUAAAAAUAACAUGUUAUG